rnacentral:lncRNA from 1 species
AGGGGCAAGGCCCCCGCUAUUUUUAGCACUUUCGGCUCCUGUAAACACCUCUCCCAGCCUCUCUGGCCCUGGAAGCCUCUCCUCCCCAGCACAGCCGGGACCGCGGCUGUCACACGCCCCUGCAAGGCCUGGAGGAGGGUCCCUGAAACUUCGUGCAGCACCCGCCCUCUCCUGCAGCAGAGAUUGGCGCUGCGUUCCCAGCCCCUUCAGCUGCUUCUCCCCAGAGCCAGGUGCUUGGGUCCAGCCG